GCCUCCCUCUUUCUUCGUGCUUAACACAUGCAAGUCGAACGGAAAGGCCCUGCUUUUGUGGGGUGCUCGAGUGGCGAACGGGUGAGUAACACGUGAGUAACCUGCCCUUGACUUUGGGAUAACUUCAGGAAACUGGGGCUAAUACCGGAUAGGAGCUCCUGCUGCAUGGAGGGGGUUGGAAAGUUUCGGCGGUUGGGGAUGGACUCGCGGCUUAUCAGCUUGUUGGUGGUGUAGUGGCUUACCAAGGCUUUGACGGGUAGCCGGCCUGAGAGGGUGACCGGCCACAUUGGGACUGAGAUACGGCCCAGACUCCUACGGGAGGCAGCAGUGGGGAAUAUUGCACAAUGGGCGGAAGCCUGAUGCAGCAACGCCGCGUGCGGGAUGACGGCCUUCGGGUUGUAAACCGCUUUCGCCUGUGACGAAGCGUGAGUGACGGUAAUGGGUAAAGAAGCACCGGCUAACUACGUG
rnacentral:rRNA from 1 species